AUCUUUGCUGCAUGACAGAGGUACCAAAGGAGCAAUCCGCUGAAAGAUGGGCUCGCGUCCGAUUAGAUAGUUGGUGGGGUAACGGCCUACCAAGUCGACGAUCGGUAGCCGGACUGAGAGGUUGAACGGCCACAUUGGGACUGAGACACGGCCCAGACUCCUACGGGAGGCAGCAGUGGGGAAUAUUGCACAAUGGGCGAAAGCCUGAUGCAGCAACGCCGCGUGAGGGAAGACGGUUUUCGGAUUGUAAACCUUUGUCCUUGGUGAAGAUAGUGACGGUAGCCGAGGAGGAAGCCACGGCUAACUACGUGCCAGCAGCCGCGGUAAUACGUAGGUGGCAAGCGUUGUCCGGAAUUACUGGGUGUAAAGGGAGCGCAGGCGGGAGAGCAAGUCAGUGGUGAAAUGCAUGGGCUUAACCCAUGAACUGCCAUUGAAACUGUUUUUCUUGAGUGGAUCAGAGGCAAGCGGAAUUCCGAGUGUAGCGGUGAAAUGCGUAGAUAUUCGGAGGAACACCAGUGGCGAAGGCGGCUUGCUGGGGUCUAACUGACGCUGAGGCUCGAAAGUGUGGGGAGCAAACAGG
rnacentral:rRNA from 1 species